rnacentral:lncRNA from 1 species
UGGACUUCUUCUCCAUUUUUUCCAAAAACACACAGGUACAGGGGGUUUUCAUUUCUUCUUGACCAAUCCAUAUACACAGAACAUACGCACCACUGGAUUCUUUUUUACCUCAACAUAGAACACACCACGCCAUUUUUUUUCCUUUUCUUAUUCACUAAUCACCAAAAAAUUCCCAAUUCCACUGGCAUAGCAUUUUCACCAGCUCACUGAAAACUCAGAGAAUACACACAGUAAGGAGAAAAGAGGAGAGUGAGAGAUGGAGAGAGUCAUAGAGAGUUAAAAGAGAAACAGUGAGAAAUCGUUGAAGGUAAGAGAGAUUUGAGCGAGCCAGAGAGAUCGAGAGAGAGACAGAAAGGCCGUUGGACUACUUUCUAGUGAAGCUCUCACCGGUGACUCACUAGAAUCGCCACCAAAAAAGCUCCACUGAUUUUGGGAUUUAGAUUAUAUUUUGUCCCGAUCAAUUCACCGUAAUCAGUUUUGGGCUUCACUUUUUUGAUACCGAGUUGGAUUCUUGAUCGUGAUUGGGGUUUUUGUUCAAGGAUUUUGGACGUAGAUUCUACCGGGUUAAUCGAAAUAAUUCAUCAAUUUUUGAAAGCACUGAGGUCCAAUUCUAUCUUCUCUCUUUUUAAUUUUUACGUAACCGUGAAUAAUUUAUGUGUUGGUAUGUUUGAAUCUUGAUUGUGUAUUGGUUGAUGUUGGAUUUGAAUGUUGAAAAGUGAAUUAAUAUUCGAUGCAUGUGUUAAUCAUUGGUUGAGAAUGAAUUUAGAGUGGAAUUGAAAAAUUGCUAAAGUGAAUUAGGAUUAAUUUUGAUUUUUUUGUUGUUUUAAUUCAUUGACGUCGUCGAUCGUGAUAGUGCCAUGAUAGGUCGAGUUGGGUAGGCAAAUAGUAGUUCGGGUUGGCAAAUUUCAGGAAUUGUGGAAUGUUGAAUGCUUGAAAUAUGUGUUGAAUGGAUUGAUUUUAUUGCUUUUGGAUCAAAUGUAUUAUUUGGUCGGGGAAUGCCCCGAGGUAUUUGUGUUUAUUCGCCGGGGAAUGCCCUGCGGUAUUUUGUACUUGGAGGACACCUGUGACAAAGGCUCGAGGCAUCGGGUAAAGCACAGAAGCGUAGUUCAGGAUUAGUGUAGGUUAGAAUAGGAUUUAUUUUUUCAUAUUUUUUAUUUUGAACUGUAUAAUUGGACUGAACACUAUAUUUUGAAUUUAUUUUGUUUUGUGUGUUUGAUUGAUUGUUUAUGUAUUUUUGUGUGGUUUAUACAUUUGUAAUGUCAAAUUAGCUGAUAUGCUCCACCAAGCGACCGUGGUCGAACCAUGGGAUCGAGGGAUGUCUACACCUUCCCCUCGGUCAACAGAAUUCCUUAGCUGGAAUCUCUGUUCGCAAACCAGUUUAUAAAGAGUCAAAUCAUUUCGAAAAGGAUUCUCCAAAGGUAACUUGGCACACCGGAUUAUGUCAAGUGACGACUCUGAACAAAAAAUAUAAAUAAUUCUUUUUUCGAAACAAGUUUUCAUUUUGUCACUUUGAUAAUAAAAAUCCUUCGAACCUUAAAAUCUAAUUCUUUUGGAAGUUAAAAAAAAGGGGUGUGCCAGCUCUGAUGACUCUGCUGGGAAAUUUUCAGAAUUCGAGCUUAUUUUUGAAGUUAUAUCGGCUUAGUUUGACACUAUGGGUGCAUAAAAGUGUUUGUGUUAUUGUUUGUAUUGUUUUAUCAUUGUAGUGUGCUUACGUGCUCUUUGUUUACAGUUUUUCUUAUGUGUUGCUGCUUUAUAUCUGGCAUCAUGUGCAUAACCCGAGUCAAUUCUUUCUGCAACAAGUUCUGCAGUACACGCUGUGUACACGACCUAUAGUUGAGUCACCUUUAUUUUAGGAGGGGGAGCCGUUGACUGGUAUGGAGUAGGUGGAAAGCAAAGCAGCCACUAUCGGCCAUACGCUCCCCCGAACAACCUUGUUAGUGAACUCCAGUGUAGGUCAGCCUUUAGGUCAUGCUUAUGUGCAUCAUAUUGAGACCUAGAGGGGUCCACUUGGUCCUUUGUAGGAGACUCACCUCUAAAGCAUCCCUGUAUGCUAAAUGUUGCAUCUUUGAGGGUAAUAAGGUCAUUUGACAGAAUGAUUUGAGCAAAAGCAUGUGUUAGAAGUAAAAUAUGUAGGCAAGAAAUUAUUGGAAAAAAAAAAGGAAAAAAAAAGUGAAAAAAAAGAGAGUUUCGUAGUUUUUUAGAGUCACUUUAUGGCUUUUAUUUUUUUCAUAAUUCAAAAAUUCAAAAAGAUUUUCUUACCUUUUUCAUACAUUUAUUCAAAAACAAAAAAAUCCCCAAAAAGAAUUUUCCUUUAUCUCCUUUAGCAUGCAUUCAUAAUUCAAAAUUUGUAAAAAAUAUUUUCAGGAUCUUUUUAUAAAAGAAAAAUUCAAAAAAAGAUGACAGAAGUUUUGUACAUUUCUUAUAACGAAAAUACAAAAAAAAAGAUUCUCUUUCAUAGUUAUUGGUGUCAGUCUUAUGUGAAGUGUCAAACUAAAAACUCAAAAAGAUUUUAUUGUUUUUCAUCUUCUGUUUGUGGUUGCGUAUCUCAAGUCAGGGUUCAGUCGGUUAUUUAAUCCUUAAUUAUCCUAUCUGGACGAACUACGCACCUCUGAUUCUCCUCUUUCGGGAGUGAGAUACAUAGGCAGCCUGUUGUUGGUUCAGGGAUCUUAUUUGAAAAAUCCAAAAAGAUUUUCUUCACUCUUUAUUUAGAGUAAGUGUUUUAUAAUCUUUAAAAGAAAACUUCAAAAAGAUUCUUCUUUAAUAGGUUCAAAUUUCAUUUUCACAUGAAAUUUAAAACUGAAAACCCAAAAUGAUUUUCUUUGGUAAUCAUAGAUUUCGCUUUGUAUAGGGAUGUUAAAGCUGAAAAAUUCAAAAAAAUAUUUUCGUCAAUUCUUUUGACAAAUUGUUAUUUUCUUUUCUCUUAAAGUUUCAAGAAAAAAAAAAGAAAAAAAAGAGUUCAAUUUGUCAUUUUGGCAAGACUUCACAAACUACGCACACCUGAUUCUCCUCUCUCGGGAGUGAGAUAUGUAGGCGCCCUUCUUGGGUUCGGUGAUCUUUUUAAAAAAGAAAAAAAAAAGGAAAAAAAGGUUUUGAAAAAGUGUUGAACUCUAACACAUUUGUUGUUUUUUUUUGUUAAGUCAGUUUAAGGUGGUUGGUUUGUGGCAUUCUGGAUGGUCCUUCACAUUACACCAAAUCCAAAGGGUUAGUUGUGUCCAACAAAGAUAUAGAGAGUGACACAUGGAUCAAACAAAGAAUCAGGAAAAUGAGAGUUUAAAGAAAGAGGGUUGCCUCCUCCUCCAUUUCCCUUUAUUGAUCGUAUAAAUACCUCGAGUUUUUCACUGAAAUCUUAAAAGUCAAUUUUCUACUGUUGUUGAUACACCGCAACAUGACUCAGAAUUCAUUCCAAGCCAAAAGCAUCUCAAUACUUUCACCACUUUUCCUUUAGCUCCUCAGCAUAAGUCUGCUACAUUCACAACACCACAUGUCGUCUGUGAUCUUGUUGCUCAAUCCUCUACUGGGACUUUCACACUGGCUCGCCCAACGGUUGUGCGUCCCCAUGUUGCUAGUGAACCUAUAUUCAAUACUCUUGGUGAUUAUUAUUGUACUCCUGAGCCUGCUUUUAAGUUAACUGGACCACCAAAAUUUCUUAACAAGAAGUCCAGUGUGCCAGAAGAGUCGAAGAAAAUGGUUGAAAAAUGAAGAGUGUAGAAAAUGCUAUGAAAAAUUCUCUAGGACCUGUGGGUAAAGAAGAUGUUUCAUACAAAGAUGGGGGCAUGCCUUCAAGCGCUAAACUUCCUCCAAUCUUUGAUAUGUCAAAAUUUGGGAAGCAAUGAGUUAAACAUGAAGAUCCAAAACUUAUUUCUUGAAGGGAAUGUGUCUGAUCGUUGUGGAAGUUCUAGUCAUGCUGAUAUACAAACCAGUGACUAAGAUGUCAGGCCGAGCAAUUGAGAAGUCACCCAUCUCCCUCUUAGAAAGAGGUCUGGUAGUUUAUUUUGUUUUAUUUUCUGUUAUCCGAAUUAUUUCAGGAUUGUAGUUCGGGAUCUAUCUUGUUUUGUCCAUUUGUCGUUAUGUUCAAACCCUUCUAUAUUUCAUUUUAUUUAAAUAGAGUGUCCCUUUUUCCUUUGUGUUUUAAAUAUUUUUUUGUUUUCUUUCCACAAUACAUUUUAUGUUGACUCUAGUGAUAUGGCAUGCUAACGGAAUUUUCAGCCAGAUCUUAAAAUCCAGUUUAAGCAUGAACAUUGAAUCAAAGGUUUAAAGUUAGAAAAAGAGAGCAUCUGAGAAAAUAGGUAGAGUGCUGAGACAUUUAGUGACAAGUUCAAACCUUCUUUGAAAAUUAAGGCCAUUUAUUUUGAGAAUUACAAGAAUAACUCAAUCAUCAAUUGUAAGGCGUGCCUCAAUUAGGUCAAACAGUGGAUGCGUGAUCCUAUAUCAAGAGGGACAGAAAGAAAAUCAGCUCCACAAAAUCAUGAGUCAUUUAAUGUAAGGAAUGUACAACAAAGGUGGAGUUGUAUGCUAGAAAAGCGCAAAAGAAGCAACGACGCACAGACUCAG